AAGAAAUCAAGUCUUCUUUAUAAGAACCCUAACCCUAGAGUAAAUUGAGUGCAACAUUGUGAAGGAAUCAAACCACAAGUUCAAGAAGUAAUACAAAGGGAAGAGAUUGAGAUAGAAAAACUUCCCAAUGCUCGUCGCCAAUUUUCUCCCUUGUGCUCCUUGAUUCUCUUCUGUUGAUCUUGAUCUCUCAAGAACAAGCUAUAAAAAGAUGUAAAAGUAUAUUGCUCUUGCUAAAACUAGUGUUUUUCCUCCCCUAAAACGACCUAAAUAACUCCUAUUUAUAACCUCUAGAAGUUACAAGUGAAUCCCCUUUGGAUUAGGUUUCUUUCAGCUUUAAAACAAACGUGCGCGUCAAGACCUGAUGAAGACCGGCGCCGAAGUUCCUUUGGACUUCAGCUGCUCGCUUCGUCAGACCAACAC
rnacentral:lncRNA from 1 species